CCUCUUUUCAGCCGGCCAUCCUGCCCCUAUAUUCGUUUUGCCGGUGCAAGCCGGCUAUGGCGAUAAACGGACUUCGGAAUAAGCCUAUCGGACCCGGGGGCGGUACCCGGCGCCUCCACCCAAGCCCGCCGCACGAUCCAUCGAUCGGCGGGUUUCGGCGGGGGCGAAAUAGGAUCGACGAGGGUGUAAAGGUCGUUCUUUUGCUCGGCAUGGUUCCGCCGUUAUCGGGCCGUCUCAAUAGUUGCAAAUGACAACUAUGCUAUGGACAACGCUGUCGCCGCGUAAUGCGGUGCCGGUAGUCCUUUAAGUCCUGGCGGUUAGCCCCGUCAGGCGGGGUCCGGAGGCACCUGGCAACAGAAGCCUCCACU
rnacentral:tmRNA from 1 species